CGAACGGUUGAUUAACACGUGGGCAAUCUGCCCUUCACUCUGGGACAAGCCCUGGAAACGGGGUCUAAUACCGGAUAACACUCUGUCCUGCAUGGGACGGGGUUAAAAGCUCCGGCGGUGAAGGAUGAGCCCGCGGCCUAUCAGCUUGUUGGUGGGGUAAUGGCCUACCAAGGCGACGACGGGUAGCCGGCCUGAGAGGGCGACCGGCCACACUGGGACUGAGACACGGCCCAGACUCCUACGGGAGGCAGCAGUGGGGAAUAUUGCACAAUGGGCGAAAGCCUGAUGCAGCGACGCCGCGUGAGGGAUGACGGCCUUCGGGUUGUAAACCUCUUUCAGCAGGGAAGAAGCGAAAGUGACGGUACCUGCAGAAGAAGCGCCGGCUAACUACGUGCCAGCAGCCGCGGUAAUACGUAGGGCGCAAGCGUUGUCCGGAAUUAUUGGGCGUAAAGAGCUCGUAGGCGGCUUGUCACGUCGGAUGUGAAAGCCCGGGGCUUAACCCCGGGUCUGCAUUCGAUACGGGCUAGCUAGAGUGUGGUAGGGGAGAUCGGAAUUCCUGGUGUAGCGGUGAAAUGCGCAGAUAUCAGGAGGAACACCGGUGGCGAAGGCGGAUCUCUGGGCCAUUACUGACGCUGAGGAGCGAAAGCGUGGGGAGCGAACAGGAUUAGAUACCCUGGUAGUCCACGCCGUAAACGUUGGGAACUAGGUGUUGGCGACAUUCCACGUCGUCGGUGCCGCAGCUAACGCAUUAAGUUCCCCGCCUGGGGGAGUACGGCCGCAAGGCUAAAACUCAAAGGAAUUGAC
rnacentral:rRNA from 1 species